GGGGGGGGCAAGCGUUGUUCGGAAUUACUGGGCGUAAAGGGCUCGUAGGUGUGGCCUUUAAGUCAGACGUGAAAUCCCUCGGCUCAACCGGGGAACUGCGUCUGAUACUGGGAGGCUUGAAUUCGGGAGAGGGACGUGGAAUUCCAGGUGUAGCGGUGAAAUGCGUAGAUAUCUGGAGGAACACCGGUGGCGAAGGCGGCGUCCUGGACCGAUAUUGACACUGAGGAGCGAAAGCCAGGGGAGCAAACGGGAUUAGAUACCCCGGUAGUCCUGGCCCUAAACGAUGAGUGCUUGGUGUGGCGGGUAUCGAUCCCCGCCGUGCCGAAGCUAACGCGUUAAGCACUCCGCCUGGGGAGUACGGUCGCAAGGCUG
rnacentral:rRNA from 1 species